rnacentral:misc_RNA from 1 species
UGUGCACUGAUCUGCCAGACCUCA